GUGAGGAAUAUUGGUCAAUGGACGAGAGUCUGAACCAGCCAAGUAGCGUGAAGGAUGAAGGUCCUACGGAUUGUAAACUUCUUUUAUAAGGGAAUAAACCCUCCCACGUGUGGGAGCUUGUAUGUACCUUAUGAAUAAGCAUCGGCUAACUCCGUGCCAGCAGCCGCGGUAAUACGGAGGAUGCGAGCGUUAUCCGGAUUUAUUGGGUUUAAAGGGAGCGCAGACGGGAGAUUAAGUCAGUUGUGAAAGUUUGCGGCUCAACCGUAAAAUUGCAGUUGAUACUGGUUUCCUUGAGUGCAGUUGAGGCAGGCGGAAUUCGUGGUGUAGCGGUGAAAUGCUUAGAUAUCACGAAGAACCCCGAUUGCGAAGGCAGCUUGCUAAACUGUAACUGACGUUCAUGCUCGAAAGUGUGGGGAGCAAACAGGAUUAGAAACCCGAGUAGUCC
rnacentral:rRNA from 1 species